rnacentral:miRNA from 1 species
ACAGGUGAGGGCCUUGGGAAC